UGCAGUCGAGCGAAUGACGAGGAGCUUGCUCCUCUGAUUUAGCGGCGGACGGGUGAGUAACACGUGGGUAACCUGCCUGUAAGACGGGGAUAACUCCGGGAAACCGGAGCUAAUACCGGAUGAUAACGAGAAGCGCCUGCUUCUUUUUUGAAAGUCGGUUUCGGCUGACGCUUACAGAUGGGCCCGCGGCGCAUUAGCUAGUUGGUGAGGUAACGGCUCACCAAGGCGACGAUGCGUAGCCGACCUGAGAGGGUGAUCGGCCACACUGGGACUGAGACACGGCCCAGACUCCUACGGGAGGCAGCAGUAGGGAAUCUUCGGCAAUGGACGAAAGUCUGACCGAGCAACGCCGCGUGAGCGAUGAAGGCCUUCGGGUCGUAAAGCUCUGUUGUCAGAGAAGAACAAGUACCGGAGUAACUGCCGGUACCUUGACGGUACCUGACCAGAAAGCCACGGCUAACUACGUGCCAGCAGCCGCGGUAAUACGUAGGUGGCAAGCGUUAUCCGGAAUUAUUGGGCGUAAAGCGCGCGCAGGCGGUCUUUUAAGUCUGAUGUGAAAGCCCACGGCUCAACCGUGGAGGGUCAUUGGAAACUGGGAGACUUGAGUGCAGGAGAGAAAAGUGGAAUUCCACGUGUAGCGGUGAAAUGCGUAGAGAUGUGGAGGAACACCAGUGGCGAAGGCGGCUUUUUGGCCUGUAACUGACGCUGAGGCGCGA
rnacentral:rRNA from 1 species